AUGAUGAUUCAAAUUAGAAAGUUUAUGGUUUUUGUCUGAAGAACCGUGACGAAACUUUUCUAGGGCGGUCUGAUUUU